rnacentral:rRNA from 1 species
UGCGAGUCGAGAGGGUUCGGCCCUCGGCAGACUGCUCAGUAACACGUGGAUAACCUACCCUUAGGUGGAAGAUAAUCUCGGGAAACUGAGAAUAAUACUCCAUAGAUCUAGGCUGCUGGAAUGCAUCUAGAUCAAAAGCUCCGGCGCCUAAGGAUGGGUCUGCGGACUAUCAGGUUGUAGUCAGGAUAAAGACCUGACUAGCCUACGACGGAUAUGGGUUGUGAGAGCAAUAGCCCAGAGACGAUAUCUGAGACACGAUAUCGGGCCCUACGGGGCGCAGCAGGCGCGAAAUCUUCACAAUGUGCGAAAGCACGAUGAGGGAAUCCCAAGUGCUAGCACGUAAGUGUUAGCUGUUUCUUAGUCUAAAAAACUCAGAGAGUAAGAGCUGGGUAAGACGGGUGCCAGCCGCCGCGGUAAUACCUGCAGCUCAAGUGGUGGCCGCUAUUAUUGGGCCUAAAACGUCCGUAGCCUGUUUAGUAAAUGCUUGGGUAAAUUGUGUAGCUUAACUAUACGAAUACCGGGUAGACUGCUAAACUUGGGACCGGGAGAGGCUAGAGGUACUCCUAGGGUAGAGGUGAAAUUCUGUAAUCCUAGGGGGACCACCAGUGGCGAAGGCGUCUAGCUAGAACGGGUCUGACGGUGAGGGACGAAGCCCUGGGGCGCGAACCGGAUUAGAUACCCGGGUAGUCCAGGGUGUAAACGCUGCUUGCUUGAUGUUAGUUGGGCUCCGAG